AACCACACACACACCUCUGUAGUGCUCCUGUGUGCCGCUUGCACGAUGAACAGUACUUCACUCAGUUCUCACAAAAGUCCUACUGUAGAGGACUGUGAUACCCCUGGCUUACAGAUAAGAGGCUGGGUCCAGAAUGGGGGAGGAAGUUUCCUAGGGCAGCUGUCCCCAACCCUUUUGGCACCAGGGACCAGUUUCCUGGAAGACAGCUUUUCCACAGACAGUGGGAUGGGUGGGGGUGGCUAUGGGGUGAUUCAAAGUAGUGUGCAACUUGGGUCCCUGUGUGCGCAGGUGCAGUUCACGGUAGGAGUCCCACUCCCAUGAGAAGCUAAUGCUCCACCUGACAAGAGGUGGUGAUUUGGGUGAUGUGGAGCUGCUGUAAAUACAGAUGCUUUGCUCACUGACCCAAUGCUCACCUCCUCCUUUGUCGCUUGGUUCCUGUCAGGCCAUGGGCUGGUACCAAGCCAACCUGGGUGACAGAGGCCGGGCAAGUCCUUUCCAGCUUCCCUCCAUCCUGUCUGCCUCCACCAUGGGAUGCUUGGCUUACCUCAAGGGCUGGAGGGUGAGUGCUGCAGGACCAUCUUGGGGAAGGGUGGACAAGGUGCUGAGCACUGGUCUGUUGGCCGGGUACUGAAUGCACUGGGCAUUUCCACAGUGUGACUUUGUGUUACUCAAGGGCCCUUAUACAGGCACUGUGCCUGGCUGGAGCCUCUAGACCCCUGGGGCUGGGCUGGCUAGAAACAAAUUUUGGUAUCAGGACCCUGGGAAAAUGUGUGCAUACCAGCAUAUGUGUGUGUAUAUUCAUGUGCAUAUGCAUAUGUGUGUGUGUGUGUGUGUGUGUAUGUGUGUGUGUGUGCAUGCCAGGGAAAGGGUCCCUGGGUGAAUUGGUGGGUGGCAGGCACGAGGGGACAGAGGGGCCUUCCCCACUCAACAGGGCAGGAAGGAACCUGGGUGGUAAGGAAGGAAUUGAAACCCAUCACAAGAUCAGGCAAGCUGGUGAAAGAAAUCCCCUUGCGCCCCUCUCAGCAGAGCUGGCCUCCCCCGGCUCAGGAGCCACCUCCUGCAUGAGCUCAGAGUGUCCCUGGGGUCUCCGGCUCCUUCCCAGGCCCACUUCCGACAAGUCUGUGGUUCUCCAGCUCCGCCGGCAGCUGUUCCCCGCACCCAGGCCCUGUGCCGGCUGUCUCCCCUGGCUGGCCUGGACUCCUCACCACCCCCCAAUUUCCUGCCGCAGCGGGCGAGAGGAACUGACCCCGAGCAAGUUCUAGAAGGGAGAGGGGUGAGUCAGGCCCGCAGGGGUGCGUGGGGAGAGAUGGGAGCUGUGGCUUCUGUGGUCACCGCUCAGAGGAAAGCCCCUUCCUGUAUGGCAUGGCUGUGUCCCUGAGUGCCAGGAGGCUGCUGCCAUGCAGGAAGAGGGCAGGACUGUGUCUGCUGGGGCCACUGCACUAGGAGCCAGACUGGGCUCUUCCUGGGGCAGGACAGGGUGAGGACACAGAGGUCCAGAGGCAGCCUCAUCUCAAAGUCACAUCACUGGCCGGAGAGAGGAAGCAAAGGUUCCCCAUCCUGGAGGAAGAGGUCGUGCUGUCCUAGAGAGAUGUUGACCCAGAAGGGAUCUGUCAGAAGGAUCUGUCCCCAAGUCCGCGUGGUGAUCGCUGUAUCCUCACAGUCAGAACCACACAAUUAAAUGCAUGAUUAUAAGCUA